ensembl:lncRNA
GCAGUGAACAGCCUUGUGGAAAUGAUGCAGAAGCUGCAGCUGAAGGACUGAGAGGAGGAGCGUCAGCAGGCAGCGGCUGCAGUGCGCGGCGUUACAGGGCAGCGCUGCGAGUGCUGCCCACCUCAGAACUCCAACUUCAGAUGGAGUCAAUAAAUACCAGACACAAUGAGAGAUUCACACAGAGCGCACGGCCUCAUUUGUCCAGCGGCACUUGGAGAGCUGCUGCACCACCUCCUCGUUAUUGGUCUCGCGGCGCUCGCUCAGAACUCCCACAGCUCCGUCAGCGAAUGCUGCCAUCCAGUGAUGCAGCGGAGGCAGCAGUCCUUUGCACUGCCCACAAACAGACUGUCUGCAAAGCACGUGCAGAGAGCUGCGAGGAACAAAGCCUGGCCACGAGCGUGCUAACUUGGAGAGCAACGCUGUGCAGAUGGCUGAGUUUCCCAGGGCAGCACUGAGUGUUUUUGGCUUUGAUGACGAGUGCAUAAUGAGCAAAGUUCACCAAAAGGACGGCAUUUUCUCAGAAAGUGACAGGCUGUUGGUCCAGAGCAGCAUCUCUGCAGCUUAGGACCGCCAGGCUACCAUCCCGGCACUGUUCUGCUUACAGACAGCUGGGCUCACGUGGGGUUACGGAUCAGGGCUCCACCUUUGGGCCACAGGGAACCCCAAUCCCCUCCCAGGAAGAAAUCAACCAGUGCACUCCAACACCACCCCACAUCCUCCAUUCUAUCCACAAACAGCUCCCCACGUGCCCUCAUACCCCCUACGUCCCCAUGCCACCCCACGUCCCCGCACCCACAAGUCCCACCUGUACCUCACACCUUGCCUUCUCCUGCAAAGCACUCUGCUCCUGCAGGCUGUGGUCCAUAGCCCCAUAUCCUGCCCAAAUCCUCCUAUGUUCCUGGACCCACAGUGCCCCUCACAUCCCUUUCACCCACAGCUGUGCCCUGCACCUGCUCCAGCUCCGCAUUCCUCUCCUGCAGCAGCCACCCCUGCCCCAGCACCCUAUGGCUGUACAAGAGCUUGAUGGGGAUGGGGUUGAGGAGGGCACUCAGGUGGGCUAUGGGGUUCCUGGGAUGGUGACAGGGGUGCUGCUGUCAGGGACUGUGGGAAUCGGUGAGAUCCCGGGGUUGGGGUCUUGGAGGUGGGAAAGGAGGUCUGAAGGAGGAAAUAGAGGAAACACGGGGGUUCUGCAGGAGGCCAGUGGGGGACAUGGGGUGAUGCUGGGGACUGUGGGGCUCCGUGUGCGUAUGGGCCAUCUACGGGAGAGGCGUACCGGGUCUGAGGAGGUCCUAGAGGGUGUAUGGUGCUCUGUGGGGGGCUACAGGGCGUCUCUAGGGGUCUUGCUGGGGAAACACUGGGCUGGAUAUUGGGGCUUUGAGAGAAUGAUGGGUGGGCUGUCAUGGGAAAGGAAAGAGCAACCUUGGGGAAAGCAAGGGACAACCAGGAGGAUGGAAGGGAAUCCUACAGGAAUGCAAGGGGAAUCCAGGCUGAGGCAAGGGGACAGCUAGGGGAAGAACAGGGGGACGUCCCAGCAACUGACUUCUUCUUUCACAGCCACAUCUUCUACUUCCCAACUGAGCUGCAAAGCUGCCAGACGAGCUGCAGUACCGCUGCCCGGCUCCUGCCUGGGUCAGAAAGAGCUGCACGUUAACGGGGUGCAAUUGACAUUCAAAAGCCAACUCCAUCACGGCAGUCACACAGCCAUCCCCUUCAGUAUCUCUUACAGGCAGACGGCCAUGCCCUUGCACAGGAACCGUUCCUACGGAGUGAGGGAAGUCCUUCACUGCCUUAGGACAACACUAAUAGGGGAAGGGCCCCAAACCAUUCAGAACAUGCUUCAGAACAUGCUAUCAAACCACCGACUUUGGCAGCUAAACACACCUUCUCCGUCAAGAAUUAGCAAGACCAAUUAAUGCCCCACAUUCCCCUAUAUUCC